rnacentral:misc_RNA from 1 species
CAUCCUGGCAGCAGGUGUCCCUGGAUUCAGAGAGAAGAUACAUGAUGACAUUAGUAUAAGAAAUCUCUGCAAUUCACCAGGUUCAGUUAAAUGGUGCCACAGCUAACACAUUAUCAUAUAUUAAUUUAUAAAAUUACACAUUUUCAGAACAAAAAGGAUGUUGCAGCUAACACAUCAUCAUAGUCAUUAAUCAUGUUAUAAAUUUUUAGCAGCAACUGGAAGUCAAAAGUUUCUCCAGACAUCAAAUCAAAGCUAUAUGAUACCACCUAUAUUGCACGCAAACUGCUAAAGCAAAAUUUAAAACACAUGAACAACGAAGAUGUGUGCCCGAGAUAGAGAAACAGACAAGAAAUGUGCCCAACGGUGAUAUGCCCAUUCUUGAGGAGGGAAGCAGCAUCCUUGAUCUGCUAUGACUUGAUCCAUUUAUGAACUUUAUGUAUAUAAUACACAAUGAGAUAAAAAGGCAUGUUUCAGUAAAACAUUCAUCUUGUCCUACAGCACGGUUCAAAAAAAUUGGGAACUUCAAUAAUAUGGCCUCCAUGGUUAAGAAUUGAGUACUUGGCAAAUCUGACAGACAUAAAAUCCCACAGAAUACCAUGUAAAAAAGGAUAGGGGAAGCCAUAGUUAUUAAAAGCGCAAGACACUAAAGCCAUAAGGAGCGAUAAUGGAUCUUGCAAUCUUGGGCGCAAGGCGUGCACUUGAGUGAGGCGAGGCACAAAACAUAGUUUUUUAUAAAAAAAAUCAAUAUCACUUCACAACAUAUUUAAGAAAUUAGUACUCAACCUUCAGGAAAAAAUGCAGAAAUU